GAAGUCGCCGCCCGCGUCUGUCCAAACUUAGUCCCAAACUCAGGAGGUUCCUGUCCCAAGAAGCAAUGUAAAGUUUGAAACGAGCCGAGCGCGGUGGCUCACGCCUGUAAUCCCAGCACUUUGGGAGGCCGAGGCUGGCGAAUCAUUUGAGUAGAGACGGGGUUUCACCGUGUUAGCCGGGAUCCAUCUCCUGACUUCGUGAUCCGCCCGCUUCGGCCUCCCAAAGUGCUGAGAUUACAGACGUGAGCCACCGCGCCCUGCCUAUAUUAGGUUUUUAAAUAGCAGGAGGCAAAGCUUUUCGGUGUGAUCCUGACUUCACUUGGGGAAAAAGGGCAGACACAGGGUCUCACUGUGUUGGCCAGGCUGGAGUGCGGCAGUCUGGAACUCCUGGGCCCAAGUGAUCCUCCAAUCAGCCUCACAAAGCACUGGAAUUACAGGUAGCUCAGAGAGCUGCGCUGGAGGAGAAAAGCCAGUCCUGGCAGGAGCUCUGGUACCUGGGAAGCUGGAUGGAGAGCCUGGGCCAGAAUCCCGGACCCCUCACCUCUGCGGCCUAGCUUUGUGACCUUGGCAAAUCCAUUCUAUGCACCUCCAUUUCCUGUACAGUGGGGAUCCUUAUUUCUCUGGCACAGAUUGGUAUUUGUUCUGUAAAGCCCAGUACCACUUUAUUUUAUUUUAGUUAUUGAUUUUUUUGAGACAGGGCCUCACUCUGUUGCCAAGGCUGGAAUGCAGUGGCGAGAUCAUAGCUCACUGCAGCCUCAAACUCCUGGGCUCAGGCCAUCCUCCUGCCUCGGCCUCCUGAGUAGCUGGGACGACAGGCGUGCACCACUGCGCCUAGCUCCAGUACCAUGUUUAAACGGUGCUCAGAAAACGUGCUAAACUUGGUGGAUGGGAAUUGAAAAGAGAUUUAAUGUUUUAAAAAUCAAAGUCACUCAGCUGCAGUGCCACAUGGGAAGGAGGCCUGGAUGUGAAUGUUCCUGGGAGCUGAGAGCUCCUGUGACUGUCGCCAGUUUCCUGUGGUCUCCCACAGACUCAGGACAUCUCCCUCUGCUCCAGGACACCUCAGGACCACCAGAGGGCACUCAUCGCACCUUCACCCCUGGAAGGGAGCUGGUCCUGGGGCCAAAACCCACUGUGCCUGGGAAGCCCUUCCUGGCUUCUGCUCUCCUCAAUGUAUGACAGCCCUGAUUUACCC
rnacentral:lncRNA from 10 species